rnacentral:lncRNA from 1 species
UUUAUUAUGCAUAUAUUGCACACUGAAAUUCGAUAUUGAAAUAUCAACAAUUAAUACGUGUUUAUUUGCUUUGUCAAUCUCCAAUAUGCACGAUUUGUUUUGCUACACGAUGUUCCUUCUGCGGAUUAAGCUAGAUUAAUACUGUCGAUCAGAUCAACUCGACCAAUCACGUUCAAGACAGAUUAAGCGAUCGGGAGACUGGUCUAACUCAAUCGACAAGAAUAUUCGGGGUGGUCUACCUUGGUCGUCAUCGAUCUGACUUUCUACCCGAGAGUUUUUGACCCGUCAAAAAUAAUCGAGUAAGGAUUGAGAAGAAAGUUACUCGAGAAGAGAUCAAGAAUACGUCGGGUAGUAGUCGAAUUGAUCGGGAAGGGAUCGUGUAGAGGUCAAGUUUGGUCGGAAUAAAAAUAUUUUACCGAUCAGUACUCGAUCAUCUCGACCUUUGCUCGACUUAUAUCUGAUCAUUUCCCGAUCAACGCCAACCUGUUUGAUAUGUUGUUCAGAUUGACUCGAUCAAUGCCCGAUCGCUUCAUGAACACUGCGACUUCUAUAUUUUUCCUAUCCCAGGCCAACUCGACCAAUACCCGAUCUCUACACGACACCACUCUUCGAUCUCUACUCGGCCAUACACGAGUUCAUAUGACCGCUACGCGAUUCUCUAAUAGUGUUUGUAGAUCUAAUUGACUCUUAUAAAUUUUCCUCCGCAAAUACAAAUUGUCACUACUUAUUUUUAACAGUACACAAAUUUCUUCAUGUACAGUACGUGUCUAAACUUUUGCAAGGAGGGAUGCAAUUUUAAAAGAUUACAAAAGAGGAUUGUUCAUAUAUGAAAUUAAUUGU